UACGUAGGGGGCUAGCGUUGUCCGGAAUCAUUGGGCGUAAAGAGCGUGUAGGCGGCUCGGUAAGUCCGCUGUGAAAGUCGGGGGCUCAACCCUCGAAUGCCGGUGGAUACUGUCGGGCUAGAGUGCGGAAGAGGCGAGUGGAAUUCCUGGUGUAGCGGUGAAAUGCGCAGAUAUCAGGAGGAACACCGGUGGCGAAGGCGGGUCUCUGGGCCGAAACUGACGCUGGAGGAGCGAAAGCGUGGGGAGCGAACAGG
rnacentral:rRNA from 1 species